UGAGAGCUGUUCUUCAUGACAACAGAACCCACAACAACCAUGACUUUUAUCACUUUCUUCAUCUGGACACUUGCUUUAUGCUUUCAAGAAUCCAGAGGACAGUACACUGUGACUCAGACUCCUGCAGUGAAAGCUGUUCUCCCAGGACAGACAGUCUCUCUGAACUGUAAAACCAGCAGUAAUGUGUAUGCCAAUAUCUACCUAGCCUGGUACCAACAGAAACCUGGAGGAGCUCCUAAACUCCUUAUUUACUAUGCUAAAACACUUCAGUCUGGGACUCCAUCUAGAUUCAGUGGCAGUGGAUCUCAUAGUGACUUCACCCUGACCAUCAGUGAAGUCCAGGCUGAAGAUGCAGGAGAUUACUACUGUCAGAGUUUCCAUGGUGAUAUGGUGUUCACACAGUGAUACAGAGCCAUACAAAAACCUCUCUCAGUCAGACUGCAGAGUGACUGUACUGUUACAGCUGGGACCUACUGCAGGUGUUGAGUGGGAAGAGACAGUGACAUGGAACACUGAUCACUCGAUGAGGUCAACUGUGUCAUGUGACAAUAUGGUUAGACAUUAUUCAGAUCACAUGAAAAUUAUUAACAUUAUCAUCAUGGUUAUAACUUAUAUUAUUUUUCAUCAUGGUCUGAAAGUGUAUAUAAAUGUUA